UGUGCUAAGGUAGCAUAAUAAUUUGGUGUUUAAUUAACAUCUGGUAUAAACGAUCUGACGAAAAUUUAGCUUUCUCCUAUAAAAGCCAUUAACUUUAUCAAAAGGUAAAAAAGCCUUUAUUACCUAAAAGGACGACAAGACCCUAGGAUCUAAAUUUUAAUCUAGCUAAAAAGUUAAAUCUCCUGUAAUAGAAUAAAAUUAUACUGGGGCGGUAAUGAUUUUUAACAAUCUUAAAUACUACAUUUAUGUAUGAUUUUUAGUACCUUAUAUUUCUGUAAAAAUUAAGAUACCCUAGGGAUAACAGCACAAUACAUCUUAAGAGCCCUAAUCGCCAGAUUAUUUUUGUGACCUCGAUGUUGAAUUAAGGUCCCUCUAUCAAGCAG
rnacentral:rRNA from 1 species